GCCUGGAGAGCUCAGCUGGUUAGAGCAUGGGGCUAAUAACACCAAGGUUGCAGGUUCGAUCCCCAUCUGGGACA